GAUGAACGUUGGCGGCGUGCCUAACACAUGCAAGUCGAACGGCAAUAGCAAUAUUGGAGUGGCGCACGGGUGAGUAACACGUAGCUAAUCUACCUCAAAGCGCGGGAUAACGUGUCGAAAGACAGGCUAAUACCGCAUAAGCUCACGGAAAGUAGAGGACUGUGAGAAAAGGCGCAAGUCACUUUGAGAUGAGGCUGCGGCCCAUCAGCUAGUUGGUGCGGUAAAAGCGCACCAAGGCGACGACGGGUAGGGGACCUGAGAGGGUGACCCCCCACACUGGGACUGAGACACGGCCCAGACUCCUACGGGAGGCAGCAGUGAGGAAUAUUGCACAAUGGGCGCAAGCCUGAUGCAGCGACGCCGCGUGGGUGAAGAAGGUUUUUCGGAUCGUAAAACCCUUUUCUGUGUGACGAGCAAGGACGGUAGCACAGGAAUAAGUCUCGGCUAACUACGUGCCAGCAGCCGCGGUAAUGUCUAGCA
rnacentral:rRNA from 1 species